rnacentral:lncRNA from 1 species
CCCCCCUUCCCUCUUCCUUGCUUGGCCGCCCCCCUCUCUCCCUCUCCUCCCAUGUGUUUGCAGCCACACCACCUAACCCUAGCCCCCCCAUCUCCUCCUCUCCAAGGUGCCAUUCCUUGUCGCUUGGAUCUACGUCGCGUGGUGCAAGUCCCCAAUUGGUUUUGGUGGAGGGAAAAAGGGAGGAAGGAAAGGGGGAGAAUUUAAGGUGAUUUUUGUGAUUAUCUCUUGUUUAUUUGUGCUGCAAUUCCAUUGAAUAGAUGUUACGUAUGCGAAUUGGUAGAGGUGCUGUCCAGAAAUUUAGUGGGUGGGCGAACAGCAAGAGUUCUAGUGAUUUCUGGGAAUUUUUCAUGUGUAAUUAGUGGGGAUAAGUGGGAUAAUCAUGUAGAGCUUUGUCAUACCUUUACAACGAGUAUUUAUGCGCUCGAUUCGGAGUUACAUUUUGGUAGAUAUCGCUGUUUGAAUCCGGGUAUGUUGUUGUCCAAAAAAAACAGAUUUUGCAGGUGGGCAAACAGCAGUAGUAUUGACAGUUUCUGGGGAUUUUUCGUGGAUAAUUGGUGAUAAUCAGUGCGAUAAUCAUGUAGAGCUUUGUCAUACCUUUCCAACAAGUACUUAUGCGCUCGAUUCGGAGUUAUAUUUUGGUAGAUAUCGCUGUUUGAAUCCGGGUAUGUUGCGGUCCAAAAACAGAUUGCAGGGUUUAUCUUGUGAACUGUGUUGGGCUAAUUAGAUGUUGAAAUUUAAUUGUAAAUUGUAUACAAAACUGGUGGGAAAUUUUAUGUAGAUGCUUCCGGAGUUUUUGAUUGAUAUCACUACUGUUAUAAUUUUAAAGUUAUGAAAUUAUCAAGCAGCGUCGCUGCAAUUUGGUGCAGAUGGGGAGAGUUGUCGCUCGCGGCGGGUUGGAAUUGUGUGUAGGUGCGGCGUUGUUUAUUAGCGUUUGCUAUGUGAAUUUAUGCACUAAGGUGUGUGUCAAAAACAGGUGGUGGACUUCCGGAUCGUACUUAGUACCAUUCCAAAUUCCCG